rnacentral:rRNA from 1 species
AAAGGGCGCGUAGGCGGCUUUCCAAGUCAGGGGUGAAAUCCCGGGGCUCAACCCCGGAAUUGCCUUUGAAACUGGAAAGCUAGAGUGUCGGAGGGGAUAGCGGAAUUGCUAAUGUAGAGGUGAAAUUCGUAGAUAUUAGCAGGAACACCGGUGGCGAAGGCGGCUAUCUGGACGACAACUGACGCUGAGGCGCGAAAGCAUGGGGAUCAAACAGGAUUAGAUACCCUUGU